CGCCAUGCUUCCAUGGGACCUGCCAGGGUGGCAGCCUCCCUUCCUACUCAUGGCAGAGCAAUCGUCGCCUUGCUUUUUGGCAUAGCUCCCCUCAUUUCAUUGGGGGGAGACUCUGACUUGGGCAAGUCACAUUC
ensembl:snoRNA